CACGUAGGGUGCGAGCGUUGUCCGGAAUUAUUGGGCGUAAAGAGCUCGUAGGCGGUGUGUCGCGUCGGCCGUGAAAACCUGCAGCUUAACUGUGGGCUUGCGGUCGAUACGGGCAUCACUGGAGUUCGGUAGGGGAGACUGGAAUUCCUGGUGUAGCGGUGAAAUGCGCAGAUAUCAGGAGGAACACCGGUGGCGAAGGCGGGUCUCUGGGCCGAUGACUGACGCUGAGGAGCGAAAGCGUGGGGAGCGAACAGG
rnacentral:rRNA from 1 species